AUCGUUGGUGUUUCCCCAUCCCCACCCGCUGGCAUCAGCAUCUGUGCGGCAAGUUGGGACUAGCUGAAAAUGCAAACUUGCAACCCUGGGAUUUCCUUGUGGUCUCCCAUCCAGGGACUAAUCCAGCCUGACUCUGCUUAGAUCCACCAGAAAACAUGUUGUACCAUCUGAGACCAGAGGCUAUUUGACAAAGACAGUAUGCACCAUGGUCUGGGACCUGAUUGACUGAUUAAGACUUUUAGCAACCACAUACACUUUUCCCCAUGUUUCAGCUACUCCAACCAUGCACCUAUCCACCUUGUUGCUAGCCAUCCUCUACUCUUUCCUCCCACCUUUGCCAGCAUGACAGACUUCUCAAGAGAGCAAAGUCUUCAGAUGUCUGAAGUAGGAUAAUGUGAGGGUAGUCAGUUGUGUCUUCAAUGAGAACUUUGGGUUCAGUUUGUUUUGCCAAUUUAUGGUUUCUUUGGUUGUUCAUGUUCAAAAGCUUUUAUAUUUUCCUAUUCUGCUUCUUCAAAGCCCAAGUUUCGCUACCAUAGUCACAGAGAAAACCAUUUCCAAAACAAUUCUGCCUUUGUAGGUUUAGAUAUAUUCUGGCAUCUGAAUAUUUUCUCUUAAGGCCUUCAUGGCUGCUGUACUGAGUGAUCGUCUGUGAGAUAUUUCUUGACUGCUGAUUUCUUUUAUGUUGAUGGUUGAUCCUAACAGAAGCUAAUUAAAUACUUUCAUUAUCA